rnacentral:lncRNA from 12 species
CUUGAAUCCAUUUUACAACUUGCUUAUAAAACUCUGUGAGUUGGCCUCUAAUGGUGAAAGUUUGAUGCUGUCAAAUGUCAAGGGAAUUCAGAUCUCUCUGAGCCCUUCUUCUCCUCCUGCAACCCAAAGCCACAGGUCUUUCCUGGAAGUGGAACAGUCUCCUCGCUACCUUCUGGGGUCAGCAUAUGGAUCUUGUUCAGCCAGUUGUCAGACCCAGUGAGUCAGCAGAGCAAAGUGGCUGGGCCAAGACUGUGUUAACCACCGAGAGGAGACAGAAGCAGGGCUCGUGUACUGGCAGCCAGGGAGCCCGAGUCAUGCAGAACCACGGAGAUCCUAAAAUGUCAUCUCCCAGAACCCAAAUCAGAGACAAAGAACCAGGGACAUCAUUUCACAGAGCAGAUUUCUACAAAAGAGUGACACAGAUUGAUGAGCCCACCAACAGCCAACAGAGAUUCAUGGGGAAAACCAAAAGUUGAAGCUGGCUACCAUGGGUCAGGGUAACUAUAUAUUGCCAUAAAAGAUUGAAGAUGAAGCCAUAUUUCCUUCCCUCUCCAUUUCAUUCUCUCUCUCUCUCUUUCUCUCUCUCUUGAUAGAUAUCUCUUUCUCUCUCUCUCUCUCUAUAGAUAUAUAUAGAUAUAGAUCUCUCUCUCUCUAUCUAUAUAUAUAUAUCUUUUUCUUUUUUAAAAAAGACUUUCUGUUGCUUAAAAAGAUUUAAUAUAGAGUAGAAUGCUGAACAUGGUUAAGAUUAUCUUUAAAAUAUAAGGUGAGUAGGAAGGUACUGUUUGUCAUGUUAAAUCUUUGGAAUGCCUAGAUAAAAUGAAAAAUUAAAAGGCACAAUUGUUCUUUUUUAUGGCUGUCAAGAGAAGUAAACUAUUCAGGAUUAAAUUUGACAAUCUACAGGUCAAUUCCAACCAUUUUGAGUUUCUUUAAGGCUAUAGCCAAGAUGUUUCAGAGGGUUCUAGAUGAUUUAUUGGGUCUUAUGCAAUUAUUAUUCAGAAAAGAAAGAUGGUGUGCUUUUGACCUAUUGUUCUGGAAACUGCUCAUGCAUCUAUCCAUGCUUCUGUCCAUCUAUCCUGAAGCCAUUUAUGGAAUAUUAUGAAUGACACACAGAUUAAUAAGGUAUGAUUUCUGUUCCCCAAAAGCUCACAGUCUAGUGGCAUACAAACAAAUAGGAAUUUAAAAAAAAAAAAAGUGGAGUAAAUGCAGAAUGGCAGUAAAGAUCACAUGCUUUGGCACUGGAGGGGAAAGAAUCUCAAAUAGGAUUAGGGUGGUUGAGGACAGUUUCUUAUAAACAUUGAUGAUUAUGCUCAUCCUCAAAGAAGAAUGUGCUCAGGUCAUGAUCUCAGGGUGGGAUGGAGCCCCGUGUGGGUCUCCGUGCUCAGUGGGGAGUCUACUUCUCUCCUUCUCCCUUGGCUCUCCUAUGCAUGUGUACUUGCUCUCUCUAUAUCUUUCUCAAAUAAAUGAAUAAAUAAAUCUUUAAAAAUGAUUUGU